AACGAACGCUGGCGGCAUGCCUAACACAUGCGAGUCGAACGAGACCUUCGGGUCUAGUGGCGCACGGGUGCGUAACGCGUGGGAACCUGCCCUUAGGUUCGGAAUAACUCCCCGAAAGGGGUGCUAAUACCGGAUAAUGUCUUCGGACCAAAGAUUUAUCGCCUUUGGAUGGGCCCGCGUUGGAUUAGCUAGUUGGUAGGGUAAAAGCCUACCAAGGCGACGAUCCAUAGCUGGUCUGAGAGGAUGACCAGCCACACUGGGACUGAGACACGGCCCAGACUCCUACGGGAGGCAGCAGUGGGGAAUAUUGGACAAUGGGCGAAAGCCUGAUCCAGCAAUGCCGCGUGAGUGAUGAAGGCCUUAGGGUUGUAAAGCUCUUUUACCCGGGAUGAUAAUGACAGUACCGGGAGAAUAAGCUCCGGCUAACUCCGUG
rnacentral:rRNA from 1 species